GAGAGGGAAGGAGAGUGGAGAAAGAACAAAAGAAAUAUCUUCAACCAGGGCCGGUGCUGUGGCGUAGUGGGUAAAACCACUGCCUGCAUGUCAGCAUCCCAUAUGGGCACCAGUUCAAGUCCCAGGUGCUCCUCUUCCCAUCCAGCUCUCUGCUCUGGCCUGGGAAAGCAGUAGAAGAUGGCCCAAGUCCUUGGACCCCUGCACCUGCAUGGGAGACCUGGAAGAAGCUCCUGGCUCCUGGCUCCUGGCUCCUGGCUCCUGGCUUUGGAUGAGUGCAGCUCCAGCCAUUGUGGCCAUUUGAGGAGUGAACCAGCAAAUGGAAGACAGACUUUCUCUCUCUCUCUCUCCCACCCCUGUGUAACUCUGCCUUCCAAGUAAAUAAAUAAAUCUUUUAAAAAAAGAAAUAUUUCAACCUUCUGGUUUACUACCCUAAUGUCCAUAACAGCCAGAGGUAGGUCAGGCAGAAGCCAGGAGCCAGGAGCUGCCACACGGGUGGCAGGGGCCCAAGCACUUAGGCUAUCUUCUUCCUUCUCAGGCAUGUUAGUAAGAUGUUGGAUCAUAAGCAGAGCAGCCAGCACUGGAACUGGCAUUCUGAUAUAGGAGUGACAGCUUAAUCUGCUGCACCACAAUACCAGUCUUAAAGAUGAAUUUCAGAAAUAGGAAAAAAGUCUUUUCCUUAUUCCCUCACCUCUCUCCUUGCAGUGAUAAUGGACUUCCCUCCUUUAGAGUAUCCAAAGGCUUCUCCACCACCCGGAAUCCUAGAACAGCAACACCACUUCUAAGAUACAAAAGAACUUCAAGCUUUGCUUCUCAGGUGGUCACACAGUGUCUUCGUUUUCCUUUUCAAGGAGUUGGAGCAUUCUGUACCCAAGAAUACACCUACACAGGCUUCCGAGGAGCAAAGGAAUCUGCAGGAAGACACAGGAAUGGGGAUCAGUGAGGAGGACAAGGACGUGGCAGCUGGUGCAAGGGGUGUGUGCAGGACUCGGAAGUUUUCUGGGACCCUCAAAGGUGACCCUAGGCUGUGAUCUGCCCAGUGAUUUGGGCCAUCGGCAACGGAGGCCCAUUUGCUUGUGGUUUGGACAUCCCACAAGAGUGAAUUCCUGGGGGCCACAUGUGGUAUAACAGGGUCAUACCACCUGCAACUCCCUCAUUCCAUAUGGUGCCAGUUCAAGUCCAGGCUGCUCCACUUCUGAUCCAGCUCCCUGAUAAUGUGUCUGGGAAAGCAGUGGAAGAUGGCCCAAGUCUUUGGGCCCCUGCACCCAUGUGGGAGACUGGAAGAAUCUCCUGGUUCCUGGCUUUGGUCUGGCCAAACCCAGGCUGUUGUGGCCAUCUGGGGAGUGAACCAGUGGAUGGAACAUAUCUCUGUUUCUCCCUCCCUCUCUGUAACUAUGCCUUUGAAACACAAAAGAAUCAUUUUUUUUUUUGCCCUUUAAAGCCAAACAUUAUUGCUUUUGUGCAUAUCAGCAUUGAAGGGGUGAUGGAAAACACUUCUUUUCAAAAGGUCAUAAACCCAGUGUGCAUAUAUAAUUUAACUAUAAUUAGAGCACAAAUAAAAGGAAUUUAUAACUCUGCUCCUCUUGCUCUUCAAAGUGAGCUGGGUCAUAAACCCAGUGUGCAUAUAUAAUUUAACUAUAAUUAGAGCACAAAUAAAAGGAUUUAUAACUCUGCUCCUCUUGCUCUUCAAAGUGAGCUUUGCUUUGAAUUGCCAUUGUGUUUCUGUGUGAAUUAGACAGAUGCACAAUUUUAUAAUCCUUCCCAAUAAAACAAUCCAACCAUAUAAAUAAGCCCUUUUAUCAGCCUUUUACAAAAGCGGGUAGA